rnacentral:rRNA from 1 species
GACGAACGCUGGCGGCGUGCUUAACACAUGCAAGUCGAACGGAAAGGCCCUGCUUUUGUUGGGUACUCGAGUGGCGAACGGGUGAGUAACACGUGAGUAACCUGCCCUGGACUUUGGGAUAACUUCGGGAAACUGGGGCUAAUACCGGAUAGGAGCUCCUGCUGCAUGGUGGGGUUGGAAAAGUUUCGGCGGUGGGUGAGGGAGUGGCGGCUUAUCAGCUUGUUGGGGGGGUAGUGGCUUACCAAGGCUUUGACGGGUAGCCGGCCGGGGGGGGUGACCGGCCACAUUGGGACUGAGAUCGGGCCAAGCCUCCUACGGGGGGAAGAAGUGGGAAAUAUUGACCAAGGGGGCGAAGCCGAAUGAAGGACCGCCGCGUGCGGGAUGCCGGCUUUCGGGUUGUAACCCGCUUUCGCCUGUGAGGAAGCGUGAGUGACGGUAAUGGGUAAAGAAGCACCGGCUAACUACGUG